rnacentral:rRNA from 1 species
CCUACGGGACGCAGCAGUGGGGAAUAUUGCACAAUGGGGGGAACCCUGAUGCAGCAACGCCGCGUGAGUGAAGAAGUAUUUCGGUAUGUAAAGCUCUAUCAGCAGGGAAGAAGAUGACGGUACCUGAGUAAGAAGCCCCGGCUAACUAUGUGCCAGCAGCCGCGGUAAUACAUAGGGGGCAAGCGUUAUCCGGAAUUAUUGGGUGUAAAGGGUGCGUAGACGGAAGAACAAGUUGGUUGUGAAAUCCCUCGGCUCAACUGAGGAACUGCAACCAAAACUAUUCUCCUUGAGUGUCGGAGAGGAAA